CCUACGGGAGGCAGCAGUGGGGAAUAUUGGACAAUGGGGGCAACCCUGAUCCAGCCAUGCCGCGUGUGUGAAGAAGGCCCUCGGGUUGUAAAGCACUUUCAGUGAGGAAGAACGCCUGGUGGUUAAUACCCAUCAGGAAAGACAUCACUCACAGAAGAAGCACCGGCUAACUCCGUGCCAGCAGCCGCGGUAAUACGGAGGGUGCGAGCGUUAAUCGGAAUUACUGGGCGUAAAGCGCGCGUAGGUGGCUUGAUAAGCCGGUUGUGAAAGCCCCGGGCUCAACCUGGGAACGGCAUCCGGAACUGUCAAGCUAGAGUGCAGGAAAGGAAGGUAGAAUUCCCGGUGUAGCGGUGAAAUGCGUAGAGAUCGGGAGGAAUACCAGUGGCGAAGGCGGCCUUCUGGACUGACACUGACAUUGAGGUGCGAAAGCGUGGGUAGCAAACAGGAUUAGAUACCCCGGUAGUC
rnacentral:rRNA from 1 species